rnacentral:rRNA from 1 species
GAUGAACGCUGGCGGCGUGCCUAAUACAUGCCAGUCGAGCGAACAGACGAGGAGCUUGCUCCUUUGACGUUAGCGGCGGACGGGUGAGUAACACGUAGGUAACCUACCUAUAAGACUGGGAUAACUUCGGGAAACCGGAGCUAAUACCGGAUAAUAUUUCGAACCGCAUGGUUCGAUAGUGAAAGAUGGCUUUGCUAUCACUUAUAGAUGGACCUGCGCCGUAUUAGCUAGUUGGUAAGGUAACGGCUUACCAAGGCAACGAUACGUAGCCGACCUGAGAGGGUGAUCGGCCACACUGGAACUGAGACACGGUCCAGACUCCUACGGGAGGCAGCAGUAGGGAAUCUUCCGCAAUGGGCGAAAGCCUGAGGGAGCAACGCCGCGUGAGUGAUGAAGGUCUUCGGAUCGUAAAACUCUGUUAUUAGGGAAGAACAAACGUGUAAGUAACUGUGCACGUCUUGACGGUACCUAAUCAGAAAGCCACGGCUAACUACGUG